rnacentral:misc_RNA from 1 species
AACUUAAGUAGCAUAUUUUCCCACUAGUUAUAUAUUUUGACAUCUUUGGGAUCAAGAAAUGACUGAAAUCUGUUUGGAUAGAGUGUAGAAGGAGCAAAUAGGUGUGCACAAAAUAUUUAUUCAGCAGACUCAUCUAUUUUGACAUAUCAAUAUUUGAGUGUGUUUUUAUACUUCACCGAUAUCCAUUGCCGUCUUGCAAAUACUCGUAAACAUACUAAUCAAUUCAACUGUUCAUUCGUUGCUGUCACCCAUGCAUCAUAAAUUUCAUCUGAAAAUAGCACAAAGUGUACCUCUUUAAGGUCACUGCCAAAUUCUUUGACAGUAGAUAUAGCUACAGUGGCAGCUUCAUCAUAAGGAUAUCCAAAGACCCCACAUGAUAUGGCAGGAAAAGCUAUAUACUGAAUGUUGUUCUCUUUUGCCACACGCAGGCUAUUUCUAUAUGCAUUUGUCAAGGAGGCUUUAGGAUUCGGGUUAGCAUCAUAUACUGGUCCAACAGUGUGGAUUACAUGGGAAGCUGGCAAUCUGAAACCAGGGGUAAUCCUUGCUUCUCCUGUUGGACAGCGAAUUCCAGGCUGUACCUCUCGUACUUUAUAGCAUGCAUCUCGUAAUUCUGGACCAGCAGCUCGAUGUAUGGCUAGAAAUGGGCAAAAUUGAAAUUAGACUACAUAGAUCAUGGAAAAGAAGCAACACUUCAGCAGUAAAUUAGAGAAUUACCUCCAUCAGCACCACCACCACCCAACAUUCUCUCAUUCGCAGGAUUGACAAUAGCGUCAGAGGAUCCAUCUACGGACCAGCGAGUAAUAUCACCUUUCUGAAUCUUCAACAAGCUCGACGGAGUUAACUGAAACGUAACUGGAUUUUCACCGCCGCUGGCCAUGGUUGAAACGCCGGCGAUACUCGAUCUUCUGCCCCGUACGACGGCGAUCAACUGCCGAGGACUAAUUGAAAUGACGGAAAUGGGCCUGAUGAAAGUGUCAAUGGCAGUAGUAGGGUUCAGCGUGUAGAAGUUUCUGGAGGACUGAAAGUGUGAGUUUUGAAAGUUUUGAGGGGUAUUAAAGGAAGGAAAAUAUCGUAAGAGUGUUGAACAGAGUUUGUGAUACGUUGCAGGAGGAGACCUCAUUUGUCUACUUGAUUGUCACUUUAGAGUCGAUAGUGAGAA